rnacentral:rRNA from 1 species
GUUAUAUGGUCAAGCGAAUAAGCGCACACGGUGGAUGCCUUGGCGGUCAGAGGCGAUGAAGGACGUGGCAGCCUGCGAAAAGUAUCGGGGAGCUGGCAACAAGCUUUGAUCCGGUAAUGUCCGAAUGGGGAAACCCACCCGCUUGCGGGUAUCCUGCAGUGAAUACAUAGCUGCUGGAAGCGAACCUGGUGAACUGAAAUAUCUAAGUAACCAGAGGAAAAGAAAUCAACCGAGAUUCCGUAAGUAGCGACGAGCGAACGCGGACUAGCCCUUAAGCUGAUUUGGUUCUAGGAAAACGCUCUGGAAAGAGCGGCCAUAGAAGGUGAUAGCCCUGUAUCUGAAAGGGCCAUUUCAGUGAAGACGAGUAGGGCGGGGCACGUGAAACCCUGUCUGAAUAUGGGGGGACCAUCCUCCAAGGCUAAAUACUACUGACCGACCGAUAGUGAACCAGUACCGUGAGGGAAAGGCGAAAAGAACCCCGGAGAGGGGAGUGAAAUAGAACCUGAAACCGUGUGCGUACAAGCAGUAGGAGCUCCGCAAGGAGUGACUGCGUACCUUUUGUAUAAUGGGUCAGCGACUUACUGUUCGUGGCAAGCUUAACCGUAUAGGGGAGGCGAAGGGAAACCGAGUCUGAUAAGGGCGCAUAGUCGCGGGCAGUAGACCCGAAACCGGGUGAUCUAGUCAUGCCCAGGGUGAAGGUGCGGUAACACGCACUGGAGGCCCGAACCCACUCCCGUUGCAAAGGUAGGGGAUGAGGUGUGAUUAGGAGUGAAAAGCUAAUCGAACCCGGAGAUAGCUGGUUCUCCUCGAAAGCUAUUUAGGUAGCGCCUCAUAUGUAUCCUCUCGGGGGUAGAGCACUGUUAUGGCUAGGGGGUCAUCGCGACUUACCAAACCAUUGCAAACUCCGAAUACCGAGACGGACUGUAUGGGAGACACACGGCGGGUGCUAACG